GAUGAACGCUGGCGGCGUGCCUAAUACAUGCAAGUCGAGCGAACAGACGAGGAGCUUGCUCCUCUGACGUUAGCGGCGGACGGGUGAGUAACACGUGGAUAACCUACCUAUAAGACUGGGAUAACUUCGGGAAACCGGAGCUAAUACCGGAUAAUAUAUUGAACCGCAUGGUUCAAUAGUGAAAGACGGUUUUGCUGUCACUUAUAGAUGGAUCCGCGCCGCAUUAGCUAGUUGGUAAGGAAACGGUUUACCAAGGCAACGAUGCGUAGCCGACUUGAGAGGUGGAUCGGCCACACUGGAACUGAGACACGGUCCAGACUCCUACGGGAGGCAGCAGAAGGGAAUCUUCCGAAAUGGGCGAAAGCCUGACGGAGCAACGCGGCGUGGGUGAUGAAGGUCUUCGGUUCGUAAGACUCUGUUAUUAGGGAAGAACAAUUGUGUAAGUAACUAUGCACGUCUUGACGGUACCUAAUCAGAAAGCCACGGCUAACUACGUG
rnacentral:rRNA from 1 species